rnacentral:rRNA from 1 species
GGGGAAUCUUGCGCAAUGCGCGAAAGCGUGACGCAGCAACGCCGCGUGGGGGAAGAAGGCCUUCGGGUUGUAAACCCCUUUCAGGAGGGACGAAGGUUGGGCAGUUAAUAGCUGACCUGACUGACGGUACCUCCAGAAGAAGCCCCGGCUAACUACGUGCCAGCAGCCGCGGUCAUAAGGAGGAUCCAAGCGUUAUCCGGAAUUACUGGGCGUAAAGAGUUGCGUAGGUGGCACUGUAAGUUGGUAGUGAAAGCGUUCGGCUCAACCGAAUAAACAUUACCAAAACUACAGAGCUAGAGGACAAGAGAGGUCACUGGAAUUCCUAGUGUAGGAGUGAAAUCCGUAGAUAUUAGGAGGAACACCGAUGGCGUAGGCAGGUGACUGGCUUGUUCCUGACACUAAGGCACGAAAGCGUGGGUAGCAAAC